CCGCGGGAUUAGAGUUUGAUCCUGGCUCGGACAAACGCUGGCGGCGUACUUAAGACAUGCAAGUCGAACGGGCGCUUCACCUUCGGGUGGGUGUGCUAGUGGCGGACGGGUGAGUAACGCGUAGGAACCUGUCAUCAAGAGGGGGAUAACGCUGGGAAACCGGCGCUAAUACCGCAUGUGGUCAUGAAAAUGAAGAAAGCAGCAAUGCGCUUGAUGAGGGGCCUGCGUCCGAUUAGCUUGUUGGUGGGGUAAAGGCCUACCAAGGCAUCGAUCGGUAGCUGGUCUGAGAGGAUGGUCAGCCACACUGGGACUGAGACACGGCCCAGACUCCUACGGGAGGCAGCAGUUAGGAAAUUUUCCCAAUGGGCGCAAGCCUGAGGGAGUAACGCCGCGUGGAGGAUGACGGCUUUCGGGUUGUAAACUCCUUUUCUGUGGGAAGAGUAGAAGACGGUACCGCAGGAAUAAGCCUCGGCUAACUACGUGCCAGCAGCCGCGGUAAUACGUAGGAGGCGAGCGUUGUCCGGAAUUACUGGGCGUAAAGAGCGCGUAGGCGGCGCUGUACGACCGAGGUGAAAGCCCCCGGCUCAACUGGGGAGGGUCCUUGGUAACGGCAGUGCUUUGAGUGCAGGAGAGGGAAGUGGAACUCCGGGAGUAGCGGUGAAAUGCGUAGAGACCCGGAGGAACACCAGUGGCGAAGGCGGCUUCCUGGUCUGCAACUGACGCUGUGGCGCGAAAGCUAGGGGAGCAAACGGGAUUAGAUACCCCGGUAGUCCUAGCUGUAAACGAUGGACACUAGGUGUGCGCGGUAUCGACCCCGCGCGUGCC
rnacentral:rRNA from 1 species